AGCAGCCGCCGCGGUAAUACGAAGGGUGCAAGCGUUAAUCGGAGUUACUGGGCGUAAAGCGUGCGUAGGCGGUUUGUUAAGUCUGUUGUGAAAUCCCCGGGCUCAACCUGGGAAUGGCAAUGGAUACUGGCAAGCUAGAGUGUGUCAGAGGAUGGUGGAAUUCCCGGUGUAGCGGUGAAAUGCGUAGAGAUCUGGAGGAACAUCAGUGGCGAAGGCGGCCAUCUGGGACAACACUGACGCUGAGGCACGAAAGCGUGGGGAGCAAACAGGAUUAGAUACCCCGGUAGUCCCUGUCUCUUAUAC
rnacentral:rRNA from 1 species